CCUCCGCCGGAUUCCGAUGAGUGGGUGCCAUCGGAAUGUUUCUUGAAAAUUCCUUCAGCCAUUUUAAUAUACUCGCCAUAUCCACUUCCGGAUUGUUCAUGUUUUCCCUCUGUAUGCGCCGAGGACUGCGUGUGUUCAGUCGUGGAGGUGGUGGUUGUUCCGGUAGUGGUGGUGGUUGUGGUGGUGGAAUGAGAAGUUUCAUAUUUGUGGAGAUAAGUCUCUGCUUUUCCGACGAAUUUUCCGAUGCCUUUCUCUUCUAGUUUGCCGUACUGUGAGGCGGCGUUAAGGAGGUCAGCGGCAGCUCCGGCGAGCUCAGACUUGUCGACCUUACUGUUUGGCUCGUGAUGGAGUUUUGCUUUGGCCGCGUCGGCAACUAGCUUAGCACUGGACAUCAGCUCAGAUUUGGAUGGUUUUGGGUGGCUGUUGGGCUUAUGG
rnacentral:lncRNA from 1 species